AUUGCUUGCUUCUUUCUCGCAUUUUCAUGCUCGAGUCAGCAGCAUCAUGGCAAUCAUGAGACGGGAGCUGCAGCCAGUCAGGAAACUGGCUUUUCUAGGAAAGCUCAGGCUUUUCUGCACAUCGGGGCAAUAGUCAUACUCAGGAGCAGGCUGCUAAUGGAUCGCUCCAUUAAUGCAGAAAUGCUCUAACUAAGAACAGCUCCUGCACAAGACCGGGCACUGAGGCCUUUGUGUCUGUCGGUGAUUCUCCAGAAGGUUCUGUGUUAGCUGUACGUGGUUGCUUUGCUUCCUAGGGCCUGGGAACAGAUGGCAACACUCUGAUCAGAGUGGUGGUGUUCCGCUCAAGAUAGAUAUACUGGAUAUCGGAAGAGAGCUCCUGACUAUGUAUGGGAAGUCUCUCUACUCCUUCAUUAAGGGAGACUGCUCAGGAGACUACAGGAACGUUCUGCUGAAGCUCUGUGGCAGUGAGGAUUGAAGGAUUCCUGGGGUGUUUGUAACUGUUGGGAAUAACGCUCUGAAGGCAUCACAGACUGCCUGCUUGUCUCUGCAGUGCUCGGGGCUGUUCUGAGCUGCAGGCUCGCUGCAGCCCCGUGGCAUAGCCUUGCAUCUGGUGACGGACUGAAGCUGGAGAAUCCUGGCAGCAGAGGACGCUCCUGUCCCACAGAAGGGCUCACAGCUCCACCGCAGCUCCACCGACCUCAGUGCUGGUGAGGAGGCUGAGAUGCCUCCAAGUGAUGAAUGCAGUCCACCCAACCUUACACCUCGUGUGGUUCACUGUGCGAGGCGACCAGGAAGAAAGGUGGGCACAGGUCUGGCCGACUGGCACAGUCAGUCUCCAAGCAGUCGCACGCUGCCGGUUUGGAGGUAGCUCUGUGUUGGUGUUAGAAGCAUGGAAUGGCCUGGGUUAACGGAGGA
ensembl:lncRNA